rnacentral:rRNA from 1 species
GACGAACGCUGGCGGCGUGCCUAAUACAUGCAAGUGGGACGCAAGAGAACACACUGUGCUUGCACACCGUGUUUUCUUGAGUCGCGAACGGGUGAGUAACGCGUAGGUAACCUGCCUAUUAGCGGGGGAUAACUAUUGGAAACGAUAGCUAAUACCGCAUAAUAUUAAUUAUUGCCUGAUAAUUGAUUGAAAGAUGCAAGCGCAUCACUAGUAGAUGGACCUGCGUUGUACUAGCUAGUUGGUAAGGUAAGAGCUUACCAAGGCGACGAUACAUAGCCGACCUGGGAGGGUGAUCGGCCACACUGGGACUGAGACACGGCCCAGACUCCUACGGGAGGCAGCAGUAGGGAAUCUGCGGCAAUGGACGAAAGUCUGACCGAGCAACGCCGCGUGAGUGAAGAAGGUUUUCGGAUCGUAAAGCUCUGUUGUAAGUCAAGAACGUGUGUGAGAGUGGAAAGUUCACACAGUGACGGUAGCUUACCAGAAAGGGACGGCUAACUACGUGCCAGCAGCCGCGGUAA